AGCAGCCGCGGUAAUUCCAGCUCCAAUAGCGUAUAUUAAAGUUGUUGCAGUUAAAAAGCUCGUAGUUGAAUUUCGGGGUUCUACCGUUGGUCAGGCUAUUGUCUGUACUGGCGUGUAGAAUUUCUACCUCCUGGGGAACUAUCAUGUUAUUAAUUUAGCGUGGUAGGAAACCAGGACCUUUACCUUGAAAAAAUUAGAGUGUUCAAAGCAGGCUUAUGUCUGAAUACAUUAGCAUGGAAUAAUAAAAUAGGACGGUGGUCCUGUUUUGUUGGUUUCUGAAUCACCGUAAUGAUUAAUAGGGAUAGUUGGGGGCAUUAGUAUUCAAUUGUCAGGGGUGAAAUUCUUGGAUUUAUUGAAGACUAACUACUGCGAAAGCAUUUGCCAAGGAUGUUUUCAUUAAUCAAGAACGAAAGUUAGGGGAUCGAAGACGAUCAGAUACCGUCGUAGUCUUAACCAUAAACUAUGCCGACUAGGGAUCGGACGAUGUUAACCUUUCUUGACUCGUUCGGCGCCUUACGGG
rnacentral:rRNA from 1 species